rnacentral:lncRNA from 1 species
GGGACUGGGAGAACUAUUGCCUUCGAGUGUCGCUCGGUCGGUCGUGCUUCACUUCCUCCUUCGGUUCUUCUUGCUGGAUGACUCCUCAGGCGGGUGGGGUACCUGCAGAUGGCACUCCAACGCUCAAGUCAGUGAGGUGUCGUAUUCGGCUGGCAGGAAUACUGUAGAUAAUGACGUACCUUAUUCCUUGGAAUGCGUGAUAUUUAUAUUACCUUGAUGGGCCCUCACUGUUGGGCCGGAUUAGGGGGUUGUUUAGCAAUUAGGGUUGGAUUAGGCUGUUUCCUAACCAUGGGUUAACCUUCGUUAAUUGGGUCAACCUUUGACUUGAGCACUCGGUGUCGGUCGGCCACGUGUGACACAUGGUCGACCUCGUACCUUAAAGUAUGGUCCUGACACAUGGGUUGACCGGGUCAAGGGACCGGUCGGUCAUCCCA